UCUUUCUAAAGCCUAAAUAGCUUCCCUCACUUUGCAACUCCUCAGUCAGGCACUGUCAAAUCUUUUUUCCAGUAUUCGUAGGACAGUUGUUUUCUACAUUCUCCCUUCUAGAUCCUGUCAUUUUCAUUUUUUCAUCUAUCCAUGAGAUUACUAGUGGUCUCAAUCUCAAGUCCCAUUUAUUUUCUUUAGUAAUCAAAACCCCAAGUUUUAGCUUGGGCCCAUGGCUUCCCAGCUGAAGUCUACAUUAUCCCCAGCUUCCCUUGCAGCUAGCAUUGACUGUGUGAUUAAGCUUUGGCUAGUGAGUGUAAGUGACAUGAAACCUCUGGGUUCUGCCUUUAAAAGGAAAGAUUGUGUCUUCUGAAUAUUUUUCUCAUUUUCUCCCUUGUCAUCUAGAACGCAUACCCACAAGAUGCCAACCAUUUAGCAAAAGGUAGAAGAAACCUGUUGCCUUUGGAUAACAAUAGUACCAUUGAACUGCUCAUGUCCUAGUACAUGAGAGGACUUGUUCAAGUGAUUGCUAUUAGUCUGAAUCUUUGUUAUAGCUGCUAGCUGCUGAUUUAGUAUAUCCUAACUGAUACAUGUUCUUCCCCAGAAUGCAUUUCUCUCUUUGUUCUUAACAAAAUUUUCAUUGUUGAAGAUUCAGAAAAGUUCCUACUGUUCUUUCCAGCUUAUAUUACUCUCUUUCCAUCAACUGCCAUUGUUCAUGACCAGGCAUGAGGUCUGAUUAUAGUGUGGACUGAUAUGAUUCCAGCAACCACACAUAAAAAUAAGACUGGUUUCUUUACAGUCGCUUAAAGAAAAAUUGCUUCUGAAAUUAUGAAGAAUAGAUCAUAAAAGCUGUAGGAAUUCAGAGAUGGGGCAAUUGGUGAGGACUGAAGGAUGAGAAGAUGCUGUAUAUUGAAGCAGUGUCAAACUGAAGAACGGAUACAGGAUGGCUUCCCAAGGAGUCUGUGGGGAAAAAUUUCAAGGGAACCAAUUUGCUAUUACUCAUCUCCUGCAUCUUUCCUAAAACUCCUCUUCCUGAAAAAGCAGUUGAAGCAGUUCUCCUUUCCUUCCUCCCAUUUCUCAGUCUGUUCUUCCACCUUACAAAAGAAAAGUGUGCUUUUACCCAUACUUCACCUAGUUCAUUGCUCUCUCUAACCCAAGUACAACUGUAGACUUCAUGUCUUCUCUGACUUACAUAUAUUUCUCUUAGGGCAAAACAUGGCUUUGGGAAUGGGUAUUUUAGUCUUUGUGGAAUAUUCAGUGCAUGUAUAUAUAUAUAGUACAGUGGAGCAGUGGGUUUUUAAUUUACAUUACCUAUUCUAACCCCUGACUUUUAUCAAAGAAUACACUGUUUCUUAGGAAGAUUCCCCUUAGAACAAAGCAAAAGAAAUAAUUAGCUAUUAAAAGUGGUACAGCCUUAUUUCAUUCAGGUGACACAUUCAUGGCAAAGUCUAUAUCAUCUAUCUUGGGACCAGGAUACUCAAGAUUUUUAGAAAUGCAUCCCGGGAAGUAAUAAUGUGCUACAAAGUACAAUGCUCCUUCCCUGGUCAGGAAUAAGAAAGAGCUGAGGGGUAUACUCUUCAUUUACUAAUGUCUCACUUGGAUGUCAAUUUUAUAUCGCGCAUUAUUGCUAGAAGUAUAGGGUAAGUAUGUGUUAAUUUUCACAGAUUAACAUCUUUAAAAUGGUUAAUUUUAUGUUCUGUGACUUUCACCUCAAUUUAAAAAAACAAAAGAUUAACUAGCAUCUAGCAGAUGAACUAAAUAAUCUGAUUAUCCUCUCAAAAGUCUAUGUCCAGGCUGCCCACAGAAACUUGAAGAAGAUCUGCUUUGGGCCAAAGCAAAAGAUCUGGGAAGUGACUGCUACUGGCUACCAAGUUUCCUUCUGGUUGAUGCAAGUGUUUCAGAAUGAUAUUGUGAUGACGGUGGCACAACACUGCGAAUAUACUAAAAACCAUUUAAUUUGGUGAAUUUUACUGUACAAGAGUUAUAUCUCAGUGAAGCUAUUUAAAACAAUAAAACAUCUAAGUGAGGUACAUUGAAGACUAUCUUCUUUUGGAACUUCAGUUUCAUCAACCUUGAAGCAAUAAACGGUUUCCCUUUGUACAACUUUUUUGCAGAUGUGGUUACUGUAAUCACACCAUGCUUUUUUUAAUUAAAUUUUCUCCUAAAGGGUCUUAUUUCUAAAAGGAAAAACAAAGUAAAAUACUAAUUUUCAUUUACCUAAGAAACAAACAUAAUGUCAUCUUUGGAUCAUGGGCAAAAAUCCAGAAAAAUUACUUUAGCUUCACUGGUUCUUGUCUAGUAGGAAGUUUCAGUUCAUUUCACAUUCAAAUUAAGUUGAAACAGAUAUAGUUAGAAAAAAAAAUAUUCAAUAUGCUAAGUACAAAUUCAUUCUUAUUUGGGCACAAAUCUCACUGCUAUCCAUUCUCCACCCCCGUCAUUGAUUAAUUUCUAUCAUAUCUUCAUUAUCUAGGCAAAAAUGUGUAAAUUCUGUAAAUAAUGCCCCCAAGUAAUUAUUUUUACACUGCACUUACUAGUCAUAUAAAACCUUCUCUUCUUUUUUCCUAUUUAUUCCCACUCUUAAAAGCUUCUACUUAUGUACCUGGUAAAAAAAUUUCCCCAAAAUGUAAUCUAGGAUACAAUGUCCUGAACUUUUAGGAAACUGUUUCAUUUAAUUAAAAUUAAUUUCUCCAGAUGAUGACAUGUUCUUUUAAUGAUGUCAAGUGCAUAAUUUUAAACUUGUAUAAAUCUUGAAAUGAAAUUACAAACCUGUAUGUAAUAUUUUUACAAUACCAAUUUCUGCCCAUCUUUAAUGUCUUAAGGGAUUUGAACAUAGCCUAAAUAAUUGAAAUAGGUCUUUGUUUACAGUCAACAAACUUUGUCUUACUGGAUGAUGAGCCACCAAAGAGACUUAACUAAAAUGAUAAAAAGGAAGAAACAGACAGCCUUAUGUCUGACUCAUCCUGCCUUUCUUCACCCUGGUCAGGACUCUAUCAGAAAAACAUCAGAACAAAGAGGGAAACAGAGGGUCGCUGAAGCUCCAUGACUUGAUCUAAGUUCCUGUUACCCAAUCUGGAGGCAGCCACGGAGAAAACAGCCAGUGGAGAAUUCGCACAGCAGAGAGGGGCAGCGCACCCCGAGGCCCGCCCCUCUCCCGUGGACCCCAGAGUGUCACCGCACCACUCACCUGUACGCUCUCUGCCAGCUCCUCCAGGCGGGGCC